CUACGGGUGGCUGCAGUGGGGAAUAUUGCGCAAUGGGGGAAACCCUGACGCAGCAAUACCGCGUGAGCGAUGAAGGCCUUUGGGUCGUAAAGCUCUGUUAGGUGGGAAGAAGUGUAGUGUAAUUAACAGUUACAUUAUUUGACGGUACCACCAGAGGAAGCCCCGGCUAACUCCGUGCCAGCAGCCGCGGUAAUACGGAGGGGGCGAGCGUUGUUCGGAAUUACUGGGCGUAAAGGGCGUGUAGGCGGCCUGUUAAGUUAGGUGUGAAAGACCAUGGCUCAACCAUGGAAUUGUGCUUAAAACUGGCGGGCUUGAGUAUAGGAGAGGAGAGUGGAAUUCCCAGUGUAGCGGUGAAAUGCGUAGAUAUUGGGAGGAACACCGGUGGCGAAGGCGGCUCUCUGGACUAAUACUGACGCUGAGGCGCGAAAGCCAGGGGAGCGAACGGGAUUAGAUACCCCGGUAGUC
rnacentral:rRNA from 1 species